rnacentral:rRNA from 1 species
UACGAGGGGGGCUAGCGUUGCUCGGAAUCACUGGGCGUAAAGCGCACGUAGGCGGCUUCUUAAGUCAGGGGUGAAAUCCUGGAGCUCAACUCCAGAACUGCCCUUGAUACUGAGGAGCUCGAGUCCGGAAGAGGUGAGUGGAACUGCGAGUGUAGAGGUGAAAUUCGUAGAUAUUCGCAAGAACACCAGUGGCGAAGGCGGCUCACUGGUCCGGUACUGACGCUGAGGUGCGAAAGCGUGGGGAGCAAACAGGG